GACCGACACCGAGGUUGUUCACAGCAGUGCAUAUACAAGUCACCUGCUGGUCCUGUGUGUCGGGAUCUGGGGGGAAGGUGAAUCAAGGUCAAGUUGUUUUGCCCAUAGCCAAGUCAGCACUGAGAAAAUGACUUCAUCUUUGUGCCUCUCUUCUUUUCCACCUCUCUAACACAGAUUGAGGAUGAAGAUGAGAAUAAUUCACUGAGCCCAGACAUGGCUAAGCCUUACAAGGGACACAGGAGUACAUCAAGAGCUUGGGCCACCUGAUAAAGAAAUGGUCUGGUUGUUACCCCAAAAUCCCUCUUCUGUAUCAGAUCCAAUGAGAACUCCGAAGAUAAAGUCAAAAUUGUUUCCCAUAUUCUUGAACAAAAUCAGUGUUUGGGCCUUAUAGAAAACAAAGGAACCAAGGCACAGAGAGAUUCAGUGACUUUCCCAGAGUCACACAGCCCAGCGAUAGUGGAGGGAGCCAGGAUUUGGACAGCUGUGCGCACUCUAAUUCUCCCAUUGUGGGCUGGCUGCACCCUGUUCCUGUGGCCACUGUGACCUCUGACCUUCUACUGCCACGUCUCUGUUCCGCAGCAUGCGAAUCCUGGGACUUGGGUGGUGAUGGGUGAGGAGGAAGAGAGGUUGUUAAUGUUAAGAAAUUUUAAUCCUUGGAUCUCCAGGAUUUGGGGCUUGGUUGGCUGCCAGGAGGAGGGAAAGGGAAGAAAUGGGAUUUUGCCCAGGAUUCCCGGUGGAUAGCAUUCAUUGAAAAAGGAAACGGAGGAGACAGGGAAGCCUGGGGCCAUGAUUCUGUACAAGUUUGAGCAGCUGGUGAGCAUCCACGCAGAAAGGCUGAGGGCCUUUGGCAUGUGAACUCUAAGUCCAGUGAGUCGUGUCUACUGGGCCACUUGGGCCCACACCCUAGUCACCUUAGGCAACCAACAGAAACUGAGCUGCACAAAGGCUAAGUACUGGCCCACCAUCAGUCCCCACCUUGGUCGCUCAUGACCCUUUGAGCUUGCCCCUUGGGCCUCCAUCACGUCUGCCUUCCAUCACUCUCCACAUGGAGCCCAGUGCUGUUUCUCUGAAGCAUAAAUCCUGCUGUCCCUUGCCUUGGCCCCUCUCCUGCUGCCAUCUCACCCCUCUCGCAUGGCAAGGCUCCAUAUCACUGCACAUGCCCAGCCUCAACAGCCUCCACCUCCCGCCACAUGCCUCAAAUCUUCAGCUUUGUGCAAGUAUGGCAGCUCUUGGAACUCACUGUGUCUUUUGUCUUUCCUUGGCCUUCCUCAUUGUUCCAGUGAAACAGAACCAUUAAGCUGCUCCUAGCUUCAACAUGUUUUUUGAGAAACUGCACACAAAGUCAUCCUGGCCGUGCUCUGGUUUAGGAUAAAGCUGAUGACAAACAACAUAUUAUACCCAGGACUGAAAAGUUUUGCUGGAAGCUGUCCCCAAAUAAGGGAAGAGAGAGUGCUCUGCCUUGAGACUAGAGAGCUCAGUGGCUUCAAGGUCUGUGAAAUCAAAUUCCAGGUAAAAUCAGCAGGCAAAAGCCAGGAUGAUCAAAGUUGCCUUUAGGUCCUUGACAUAUUAUUUUUUCACCCCUGAGACACUCAUGAGUUAGAUGCAACAGGGAUUUAGAAGUCUGAUGUAAUCUGUCAAUCAGGAGCUGGGAAGUGGUACGCAGAUGGGACCCUCUGGAGAGUGCCCCUUAACCCCAAUAAAAACU